rnacentral:rRNA from 1 species
AACGAACGCUGGCGGCAUGUUUAACACAUGCAAGUCGAACGAGAAAGCUCUUCGGAGUGAGUAGAGUGGCGCACGGGUGAGUAAUGCAUGGGAACGUACCUUCAAGUCUGGGAUAACCACAGGAAACCGUGGCUAAUACCGGAGAUCUGUACGCAGUAAAGGGGCUUUAUUGACCCGCUUGAAGAUCGGCCUAUGUCCCAUUAGCUAGUUGGUAAGGUAAUGGCUUACCAAGGCUACGAUGGGUAGCGGGUCUGAGAGGACGAUCCGCCACACUGGGACUGAGACACGGCCCAGACUCCUACGGGAGGCAGCAGUGGAGAAUCUUGCACAAUGGGCGAAAGCCUGAUGCAGCAAUGCCGCGUGAGUGAAGAAGGCCUUCGGGUUGUAAAUCUCUUUCGACAGGGAAGAAGAGUGCGUAGUAACGAUACGUACUUGACGUGUACCUGUAUAAGAAGCACCGGCUAACUCCG